rnacentral:rRNA from 1 species
GGACUACCGGGGUAUCUAAUCCUGUUUGCUCCCCUUGCUCUCGCGCCUCAGCGUCAGGUCAUAGCUAGAAAACCGCUUUCGCCACAGGUGUUCUUCCACAUAUCUACGCAUUUCACCGCUACACGUGGAAUUCCGUUUCCUCCGCCAUCCCUCUAGACCUAUAGUUUCAAAUGCAGCUCCGAAAUUGAGCUCCGGAAUUUCACAUCUGACUUACAAAUCCGCCUACGCGCCCUUUACGCCCAAUAAUUCCGAUUAAUGCUUGCACCCUCCGUAUUACCGCGGCUGCUGGCAC